rnacentral:rRNA from 1 species
GACGAACGCUGGCGGCGUGCUUAACACAUGCAAGUCGAACGCUGAAGCUCAGCUUUUGUUGGGUGGAUGAGUGGCGAACGGGUGAGUAACACGUGAGUAACCUGCCUCCUUCUUUGGGAUAACGCCCGGAAACGGGUGCUAAUACUGGAUAUUCACUGGUCUUCGCAUGGGGGUUGGUGGAAAGGGUUUUUCUGGUGGGGGAUGGGCUCGCGGCCUAUCAGCUUGUUGGUGGGGUGAUGGCCUACCAAGGCUUUGACGGGUAGCCGGCCUGAGAGGGUGACCGGUCACAUUGGGACUGGGAUACGGCCCAGACUCCUACGGGAGGCAGCAGUGGGGAAUAUUGCACAAUGGGCGCAAGCCUGAUGCAGCGACGCCGCGUGAGGGAUGGAGGCCUUCGGGUUGUGAACCUCUUUCGCUCAUGGUCAAGCCGCAACAAUGGUUGUGGUGAGGGUAGUGGGUAAAGAAGCGCCGGCUAACUACGUG